rnacentral:rRNA from 1 species
AGAGUUUGAUCAUGGCUCAGGACGAACGCUGGCGGCGUGCCUAAUACAUGCAAGUCGAGCGAGGAACUUCGGUUCCUAGCGGCGAACGGGUGAGUAACACGUGGGCAACCUGGCCUUAAGCCUGGGAUAACACCGGGAAACCGGUGCUAACACCAGAUAAUCUCUAUUCUCGCAUGGGAGUAGAGUAAAAGUUAACACUU